rnacentral:rRNA from 1 species
AUGAAGCAGCCAAGCACGCUGUGUAUCCCCUUGGGUGGAAGAGAAGGGAGCUGUGGAACCUGUGGCUCAAGGGAUAGCCAGAGACCAUUAUCGUGCAUGGUGAGGCUGGUGUUUGUAGAUUCAGGGACAACCAGGACUUGCCGAGAGGAGCCGUGUUGCUCCCUCUCCUUAUCUGAACGAGCAGAACAUCCACCCUUCCCAAAGCAAAAGCCAGCAAGUAGCCAAGUACAACCAAUGGCUAUGGUGCUGGAUGCAUUUGCACACUACGUGGGUCACAUGCUCGCGCAGCUAGCAGCAGAAGGUGUGGGGACGAUGCUGGGCGUCUCUGGUGAGAUUGAGAAGAUGGACAACAAGCUUCGGGACCUCAAGAACUUCCUGGCUGACGCUGACAGGAGAAACAUCACUGACGUGAGCGUCCAGGAGUGGGUGGGGCAGCUCAAGCGUGCCAUGUACGAAGCUACUGACAUCCUCGACCUCUGCCAGCUCAAGGCUAUGGGGCGUGGAUCAUCCAGUAGUGUAGAUGUGGGGUGUUUCAAUCCCUUGCUCUUCUGCAUGCGGAAUCCAUCCCAUGCUCAUGAAAUCGGCACCCGCAUCAAGGCGCUUAACAAGAAGCUCGACUCCAUCAAGGAAGGGAGUGCUGCUUUCAACUUUAUCAAUCUUCAGUCCUAUGAGGAUCAUCAUAGCAGCAAUGACCAUGCUACUCGCCAUGGUAGUUCAAGCCGGGAGACGGUGGGGGACCUUGACCGAUCAGGUGUGGUUGGGGAGAAAAUCGAAGAAGACACAAAAGCACUGGUGGCCCAGAUCAUGCAAACAAGUGAGGAGGUCAGCGACAACAUCAUGGUGAUCGCCAUAGUAGGUGUCGGUGGGAUUGGCAAGACCACCCUUGCGCAAAAGGUCUUCACUAAUGAAGCCAUCCAAGGUGAGUUCAGCAAAAAGAUAUGGUUGAGCAUCAACAAAAACUUUAGUGAUGUUGAAUUGCUAAAAAGAGCCAUCAUCGAAGCCGGAGGAGACCCCCAGCCAGCUGGAGAUGCAAAGACGACGCUUCAACGAACCCUCAAGGGCGCCUUGAUUGGUCACAAGAUCUUCCUAGUAAUGGACGAUGUGUGGAACCAUGGAGCAUUGGAGGAUGUCCUCAAAACACCGUUAGUCAAUUCUGCUGCUCCAGGUAGCCGUGUCAUCAUCACUACUAGAGAUGAAGGUGUCGCCCGAGGAGUGAAAGCUAUAUGGCCACACCACCACGUCAACAUGUUAGGGCCCGAUGACGCUUGGUUGAUGCUUAAGAAGCAGGUACUCUCGAGUGAGAUAGAUGAAGACGACAUCAAUAUGCUGAAGGAUGUUGGGCUGAAAAUUAUACAAAAAUGCGAUGGCUUACCACUUGCCAUCAAAGUAAUGGGAGGACUCUUGCGUAAAAGGGGGAAGCUACGACGUGAUUGGGAGAAUGUUUUGGAUGAUUCUAAAUGGUCAAUAACUGGAAUGCCCCAAGAGCUCAACUAUGCAAUAUAUUUGAGCUAUGAAGAUAUGCCUCCUUAUCUGAAGCAAUGCUUUCUAUACUACUCUCUACUUCCUAAAAGAGCAUUGUUUCAUGUGGAUCAAGUCAUUUCCAUGUGGAUUAGCGAAGGAUUUAUUCAUGGGAACUCAAAUGAUUUAGAAGAAUUUGGAAGAAAUUACUACAAUGAGCUGAUAUCUAGGAACCUCAUAGAGCCAGAUAAAUCAUAUAUUGAUCAUUAUUAUUGUAGCAUGCAUGAUGUUGUUCGUUCAUUUGCUCAGUAUAUGACUAAAGAUGAAGCACUCGUAGUUCACGAGGGAGACACUGAUAUUCUAUCUAAACUUCAUACAGAAAAGUUUCUUCCGUUGACUAUAGAUACCAAUGGAUUGCAAUCCGGUGAACUUCACUGGAAAUCUUUUCAGGAGCAGCAUUUAGUGAGAACAUUUAUCUCAAUAAUCGAGAUUAAGAUGAAGCCCGGGAAACUUGGGAAGAUGAAACUAUUGCAAUUCCUUGACCUUCGUGGAUGUGAAAAUUUAGUGAAUCUUCCUGAAGGCAUUCUCAAGAUUAGUCAACUAAGGUUACUUAAUCUUCCCAAAGCAAGUACGAUACCUAGAGGGUUCAGGAGUCUAACAAAUAUGAGGAGGCUGGUUGGGUUUCGAGCCCAUAUGGAUGGUGAUUGGUGCAGUUUGGACGAGUUGGGGCCUCUUUCCCAACUCAGAUUUCUUGAAUUAACUGAAUUGGAGAAUGUAUCUACUGCUUCAUUUGCUGCUAAUGCCAGACUUGGUGAUAAAAUGCAUCUUCUCAACCUAUUCUUGUAUGGCACCAGCAAACUGGGAUAUAAUGGGUUGGUCAAAGAGAAAGAAUGUGUCUCUAAGGAAGAGCAGCAACGAAUUGAGAAGGUGUUCAAUGAGCUCUGCCCUCCACCUACUGUAGAAAAUCUUAUAAUCAAGGGGUAUCUUGGCCAGCAACUCCCGAGUUGGAUGAUGUCCAUGUCAACCGCAGUUCCCCUAAACAACUUGAAGCUUCUAGGUUUAGCUGACCUGGAUUCUUGCACACAACUUCCCAAUGGGUUGUGUCGGCUCCCCUACCUGCAGGCGAUUCAGGUUGAACGCGCUCCAUGCAUCACGCGUGUUGGAACUGGAUUUUUGCAGGCCGCGGCAGCUCCAUUUCCCAGGUUAAACAAGAUGUACUUCUGUGGUAUGGUGGAAUGGGAGGAGUGGGAGUGGGAGGAGCAAGUGCAAGCCAUGCCCCGUUUGGAGGAGCUUAUACUUGCAAAAUGCAAACUAAGGCAUGUUCCUCCCGGGCUUGCCUCCAAUGCAAGGGUUUUGAGGGACUUAGCUGUACAAGAUGUCCAACACCUCAAUUACCUUGAGAGCUUUCCUUCUGUUGUUGAGCUUACCGUGCUUCGAAACCCUGACCUAGAGAGGAUCAGCAAUUUCCCCAAUUUGCAGAAGCUUACCAUCACUGAUUGCCCAAAGUUGAAGGUGCUAGAUAGUAUGCCUUCACUCGAGAGGUUGGUCCUUGAGGAUUACAUCAUGGAAGAACUCCCAAAAUACAUGUGUGGUAUAAAGCCAAGGCAUUUGCAGUUAUUCUGCAGGCUGUGGUUGCUCGCUUCGAUAGCCGCGGGCCAAUCUGGUCCCGAGUGGGACAAGUUCAGCCAUGUGGAGCAUGUCAAGGCAUAUGCGCCUGAUGGAGACAACCUAAGGAAAUGGAUCAUGUCUUGGUGUGAACGAGUUAACCAUCGCGCUGAUAACUUGCUGAAUGGUAGCAGGCUGAAGGCAUUAUCAGGGGGUGGAUCGGAACUUGGGGAAUACAUAAUUGGCGAUGUAGGGUACCCUCUUUGUCCCUGGCUCCUCACACCUUACCAGUUGGAGAAUGAUACGUCACUCUCAGACUCCAAAGUGGAGUUCAACAGAAGACAUGCUGGAGCCACAACCAUCGCGUUGAGGGCACUGGCAAGGUUGAAAGACACGUGGAAGUGCCUGCAGCGAGAAGGGUGGAAUAUAAAUAAUCAGAAGUACGCCUUCAUGACAAUCUACGUGUGCUGCAUGUCGCAUAACAUAGUGAUAGACAUGGAGGAGGAGGAGGAGGGUGCAGGCAUGCCAAGUGAUCAGGAGUAUAAUUACAUUGAGCAAGUGCGCCAGGUAGCAGAAGAGGACGCCAUCAGGGUGAGGGAUGCACUGUCCCAGCACUUGAUCGAAUGUGGAGCCACAAUGUCUGCACAGGUGGAACAAGGAGCAGCAGCAGUUGCAUCUGGUUCAGGAGAUGGAAACAAGGAGCGGGAAGUACACCGACGAUUAACAACAGAUCGGGGGAAGGAGAAAGCCAUGACAGUGAUGCUGCAGCCUGAAGUAAAAGUUGGAUCGGGAAAGAAGAGUGCCAUGUUGUGUGUAUCAACGACAGACUAUUUGUGA